rnacentral:tRNA from 1 species
AAGAAUUUAGUUUAAACAAAAACAUUAGUUUGUCAAACUAAAAAUAUUAAUUUAAUAUUUCUUA